CAGGAAGGUGCUUGUUAAGAAAAGCUUGACAGAUCCCAAAAGGACGAGGAAGAGCAGCCCCUGACUAGCCUGUGUUCCAGCAGUCAGGCACCCAGGAGAGCCAGGGGAAAGCAGAGCUCAGCACCUGGCUCAGCCUCAUCCCAAAUGGCUGCCAUGAUGACUACACUGCUACUUGUGCUGGCACUGGGGAUUUCUAUGAUUUGUAUGCAGAAAGCAUAAAAGAUGUCAGUUUCAACUCAGUGGGAAUUCAGCACCUGUAUGGGAAUUCUGAGAAGUUUGUCAGGAUGGCAAAACACUUCCCUUCAGAUCCAGAGAUAAGUGCGAACUUCCAGCAGGAAACUAAAUCCUGACAUUUAGACCUUGGUGUGAAAUCCCUGGGACAGCAACAAGAGGAAAACAUCUUUCUACUUAUCCUACAGCCAAAUCAAAUCAAUGGCUGAUUCAUAAUGCAUCAAGAAGGUGUCCUUUUUUCCCAAUGUAUUCCCAGCCACAGUCCAUUGCAGCUAAGGCCUUGGAGGUGUUCAAAGAAGUUGCCAAGCCCUCUGAAAAAUCCAGCAGCCCAGGAAGAGCUGCAAAGCACUGACCAUUUUGACAGUUACACGAGUUUUAGAACGAGAUGUGGGCUGCUUUGAAAAUGUGGCCUUUAACUGAAAGUGCUGAGCUCUGGCAAUACAGUUUUGACCUGUUGUGAAACAUGGACUGUCAGUACUUAACCACUGUCAGCUGCCAGCAGUUACAGGUUGUUAACAAGGCUCUUAUGGUCAAAGGAAGAAAAUGUCCUGACUAAGCCAGGGUGGCAGGCCCAGAGAACAAGAGAGCCCCGAAAGAAAAGAAGGUGAGCUCAUGAAACCACACAGAGUGCUUCAGUAACACCCCCACGGCGCACAGCAAGGAUCAGCAGAGAUCUGGGUCAUUUCUGCUGGUGAGGGACACAACCUUCAAAGAAGAGCUCAAAUUGUAUCACAGGUUACCAGAUCAUACCCACAGAGACCUGUUGGCUCCACAGGGAUAGGUGAGCAUCUCGUGAAGUUCAAAAAUCAUCACUGCAUUCAGGAAGAGGGUCAAAGUCUGAACAGGCAAUGGGGACUGCAGCUCUCACUUCUGGAGGAAGCCAGGAUAGAGAUCCUACAGCAAGAUGUGCUCGUUGUGCUCACAGACUGACACUUCAGCCCUGAAAUCUUCUCAUGCCAAAUAAAUCUACCACACUACAUGAGCUGAAUAGCA
rnacentral:lncRNA from 1 species